UAUUAAAUAAAUAAAUAGAUAGAUAGAUA
rnacentral:piRNA from 1 species